UACGUAGGGUGCAGGCGUUAAUCGGAAUUACUGGGCGUAAAGCGUGCGCAGGCGGCUUCCUAAGUCAGAUGUGAAAUCCCGGGCUUAACCUGGGAACUGCGUUUGAAACUGGGAGGCUAGAGUGCGGCAGAGGGGGGUGGAAUUCCACGUGUAGCAGUGAAAUGCGUAGAUAUGUGGAGGAACACCGAUGGCGAAGGCAGCCCCCUGGGCCAGCACUGACGCUCAUGCACGAAAGCGUGGGGAGCAAACAGG
rnacentral:rRNA from 1 species